ensembl:lncRNA
CUCCACCCCAUUUUUUUCUGUGCUGAGCUUUUCUGAGGCUUUUUGGAAAGGGUGCUUUCAGGAGAAAAGUCCCUGGUAACCCACUUCAGGUUUUGAUCAGGAUGUUGGUCAUAUUCUGUUGAGUAUUGUACAGAUUUACAUCGGGUUUUGCCCCUUUUUUGCACAGGAUGAGAAACAAUGAACUUGAAAUAAACGUGUGGUUGAUGGAAAGCAAAACAGAUGGAAAUCCGUGCAAGUUUUGGAAAUACUGCUGCUGAAUAACUGAGUAAAAUCAGCCAGUUCAUGGAUCGGGUGUUAGUUUUAACACUCACUCAGGCCUAUUAAAACUUGUUACAUGUGCUUUUCUUAAUUCUUAGUCUGGGGGCUUCCCUGGUGGCUCAGACAGUAAAGAGUCUGCCUGCAAUGCGGGAGACCUGGGUUCAAUCCCUGAGUCGGGAAGAUCGCUGGAGAAGGAAAUGGCAAGAAUACUAUAGUGGGUUGCUCGCCCUCCUCCAGGGGAUCUUCCUGACCCAGGGAUUGAACCUGGUUUUCCUACGUUGCAGGCAGACUCUUCACUGCCUGAGCCACCAGCGAAGCUGGCACAGAGCUGAAUACGACCCUCUAAGGUCUCUGGGGUUAGCUGUUUCUCAUCUGUUGCUUCGUUUUUCUCUGAACUCCUCUCUUCCUUAACCUCAGCGGUUCCCCCCGCCCCGUUACUUUGUUGCUUUGCUUGUACAUUUUCAUCUGUUUUUCCCUCCUACAAGAGAUUUUUCAUUUCCUGUGCAGAUUCUGCAGUUAAACACAAGUAGGGUAGUUUCCAAACUGGAAAGCACCCGCACUUGCCUUCUGUCUUGACUAUUUUUCUGUGGGCCCUCUGCCCCCCACCAUUGCAGUGGCUGCUCUUUUUCAAAGCUGUUUUGUCGGACAGGAUUUUUGAGGAAUAAACUGAUGGUUUACUUCUUCAUUACUUACAGUUACUGAACAUCUGUGUCUCAGGAUUCUUUUUUUUUUAAAUGCAAAGUGAGGCUCCAUGAAAAUCCAGGGCGCCAGUCCAGACAAUGUUCUAAAGGUGUUUGCCUGUGGAGCAGGUGGUCCCCAGUCACAGCGGCCGAGUCCUGCAGGGGCUGCCCUCGCUGUGCUGUGCAGGGCCCAGCUCGGGGGCUCCUGAGGUCUGGUGUGACCUGGUUGGUAGAAACAACCAUUAUUAAAAAUUAAGUUAUGUAAGUUUACAAUUGAGUUAUAUUUGAAGGGGUAAUACUCAAAGCUCAUCUCUCCCUAGUUAUUUUAAUUGUAUUAUUAAUGUUUUAUGUAUGUGUAAGUGCAUGGUGGGAAUCCUUUAUGUCAGCGUGUUUCUGCACACCUUCCCAUCUCCCUGCCAAGGGAUUAUCUGUACCAUGAAAAUGUGCACAUGCUCUGAAUCAGGGCUUGAUUUUUUGUUUUGUUGAUUUUCUAGGCUUGAGAAAG